GCGGUUCGUUGGUUAUAACUAUUUUCACAAGCAUCGGAUCGCUUUGCGGUCUUCAACAAAGUUUUUCAGAACAUCUUAGGCUAUCAUUUUAUAGUAUCGGUUAAAAAGUUUCAGACAAACUUUUUCAACUUAUGACAGCAGAAAAGUAUGUUUUCCCAUACAAAAUCCCAUACAAAUUUCAAUUGAAAUGCGCAAAGUGUAGACGCAACCGAUCGUGCUCAAAUUUUGCAGAGAUACUCAGGACCCGAAACGGAACCAAAAAAGGUUUGAUCAGAGAAAACGGUUCCGAUGACCCACACUAAUGUACAGCAAAUGCCACCCCGGCCUUAGUCUGAUCGAUAAGGUAAGUAAGCCAUUUGGCAAAAUAGACCCCUCUGCAUAUUGCAUGGCCACUUGAGUAUUAUAAACUUGCAUCAAUUUAUGGUUGAUUGAGGGUGAUUUAAAAAAAAUCGAAUGAAAAUUGACGAAAUGUCAGCAUUUUGAGAAUGACUUAUCGGGGGUCGGGUACGUGAAGGUUAAGCACACACUGAUAUCCAUUUUAUAUCUAUAUUUCCUGGAAACUUUGGUGCAUUAUUAUGCACAAGAUCGAUAAGGAGAACCAUCGUCAUAUCACGUUAAAAAAGCAAAAACAAAGUAUCCACCCACGCAGUCAUAUAAAGAGAGCCCAUUGAACCGGUGUAGGCAGAUUUCACUCAGUUAGGCAGCUGAUUGAAAUAUUGGAAAGUAUAUGAAGAAUUAAGUGAUAUCGAUAGUAUUGAAUACGUCCGCUUUGCCAGUUUUCGAGGCCUACCGAGUACCGAUUUAUCCGGAGAACAUGGGAGGCAUCUUCACCUUAAUAGCUCUUGUAACUUUGGGCACCCUGUAUUAUUUUUCAUCGCGGAUCAGUUUAAAGUUUCCAAGGUCGUCCUACUGAAGCAUACCACCAGCACCACAACCAGGAAAGCAAUAUCACGACCGUUGCAGCUGAGCGAAUCAACCCUACUCGUGACGAGAAAACUUAUUUACUAGCGAACAAUCGAAACAUGCAACCAUCCAGCUGUGAAUCGCUAAGAUCUCCUAGUGUCGGAUCGGGUGGAGCAUUAGAAGCGAGGCCGGGUCAUAACAUACCCAAGCCGGAUUUCUAUACGAAAUAUCUUCCGAAAGUUAGGAUCUGUCAUAAAAUCCUAUGUGUCUUCCGUGGCCAUAAUGGCACAUUUUUCCGUCAGUCAAUGUGAGUUGGAAAUACAAUAAUGAUUUAAAUAUAUACGA